UGAUUAUCUCAUUGUACAUAAUUCGGAUGGUAUUCCCGUUUAUUUAUAAUGAAAAUAUACUCGUUUAGGAUUCUAAAAAUAUAAGGUUUAACCCAUAAUUAAUUUUGUACAAUUUUUAAUGAUUUUCCAAAGUCAGAACAGGGGAUUCCAAAAUUAUUCUGACUCUAUCUCACAAAAUUUAUUAUAUCUCAUGAUUUACAAUUCCAUUGCUUACACCGUUUCUUCUAUGAGAAACUAGACUCGAUAAGAUUUAAUUUCAUAUUUUACUCAUCUUCUAAUUCGAUUCCCACGAUUUUUGGUGAUUUUUCAAAGUUGGCACACAGCUGCUGCCCAAAACUGUUUUAGUGCAACAUUUUGAUUACCAUUUUGACCCUAAACUUUUAACACAUGACAAUUUCAUCCCUAGGCUCGGAAAAUGAAAUUCUUGCAAUUUAAUCCUUGAUCCAAGCCUAAUAGUUCUCAUACAUAUCAAUAAAAGCCCAUGGAUUCCAUGAAAUUUCAGAAUUUCUCCACAAUUUCAAUACUUUUCAACUUAAUCCCUAAAACAUGUUUUCAUCCAAAAUUCUUUAAUAAAACACCUUUAAACAUCCAUUAACAUCUCAAUUUCAUCAUAAAAUAACAAAAAUCAUAUGAACUUAUCAUUGGUAUCUUCCAAAACUUUCAACAAAAUGAGAAACUAGUAGAAUACUAAGUUGGAUCUAAUUGUAAAAGUCUAAAAAUAUAAAAAUUUCAAGGAAAAAGCAAGAAUUAAACUUACUUGAAGCCAAAAUAUGGAAUACCAGCUCCAAACCCUCUUCCAUGGCUAUUUCCCACCGAAAUUUCAAGAAGAAAUGGUCUUGAAAUCCUU
rnacentral:lncRNA from 1 species